GAUGAACGCUGGCGGCGUGGAUAAGGCAUGCAAGUCGAACGAAAUCGUUUCCUGAAGAAGUUGCGAUUACAUCAAGAUGACGGAUUGAAGGAUUUAGUGGCGAACGAGUUAGUAACACCUUGGUAACGUACCUCCGAGUCGGGCACAACGGGUCGAAAGAUCCGCUAAUUCCCGAUAGUCCCGCAAGGGUAAAGUCGCAAGACGCUUGGAGAGCGGCCUAGGUCCUAUCAGCUUGNGGCGGGGUAACGGCCCACCAAGGCUACGA
rnacentral:rRNA from 1 species